CAACCCUCAGAGCCCCUGUAUAAAAAUACAGGGCGCAUCUGGUGUUGGGGCCCUGCGGCUGCCGCAGGCCCUGAAAAACAGUGGCGGGCUCCGCUAUACUCCGAGCGCAGUAAUACUUCUCGCUCAGGGCGUAUGGCGGAGAUCUUGUCUUCUCAAAAACUUUUUAU
rnacentral:misc_RNA from 1 species